rnacentral:lncRNA from 1 species
AAAGAAGGGAGCAAAACAGAUGAUAAGAGCUCUUGUUUCACCCCCCGCAGGGUGCCAGCUUGCCAGUGGUAACCUCGUGAUCUGCUGAUGUCAUCCUCACAAAGCAGCUACUUCUAAAGAGGGACCCCAAUGAAAUGUUAAGGAUUGGUGAUAAUGGACUCCAAAGAGAUCCCCCUCUUUGUCCAGAAGAAGAAUAGUUGCAAUGUGAGGACCUGAGGAUUGGGAAGUGUACAUGGAUAGUUCCCCAUGAAAGAAUACGACAGUCUACAAACUUGCAUGUGUCUCAAAACUCAAAUUGAUGGCUAAACAAAGAGCAAGAAGGAGGACUGUCUGUACUUUCUGGACAGAACUCUGUCUUGUAACCCAAGUACAUGCUGAGGUACUACAAUGAGGAGAGAUUUACAAAUGCCUGCACAUUUAAGAAAGGUUGUUUGUGACAGAGCUUCAGCAAUGCCCUGUGCUGAAUGUGAUUCAUGUAAGGCAUAUGCAGUGGGUUCCGAGUUUGAAAGGAGUGCAAUCAACAAUCUCAAGAAUAAGAGGUAUCUUGACUCAAAAAUGCUGAUGCAUGAAUGAACACAAUUCUCCGUGCACUGAUUUACUGUUUAGGUGACACAUGCACUGUAGCAACCACAUGUAAUCAAGUUCAGUGGCAUUCACAAGCAAAUUAUGUUGCA